CCUACGGGGGGCUGCAGUGAGGAAUAUUGGUCAAUGGACGAGAGCCUGAACCAGCCAAGUAGCGUGAAGGAUGACUGCCCUAUGGGUUGUAAACUUCUUUUAUAAAGGAAUAAAAUGAGGUAUGUAUGCCUCUUUGCAUGUACCUUAUGAAUAAGGAUCGGCUAACUCCGUGCCAGCAGCCGCGGUAAUACGGAGGAUCCGAGCGUUAUCCGGAUUUAUUGGGUUUAAAGGGAGCGUAGAUGGGUUGUUAAGUCAGUUGUGAAAGUUUGCGGCUCAACCGUAAAAUUGCAAUUGAUACUGGCAGUCUUGAGUACAGUAGAGGUAGGCGGAAUUCGUGGUGUAGCGGUGAAAUGCUGAGAUAUCACGAAGAACCCCGAUUGCGAAGGCAGCUUGCUGGACUGUAACUGACAUUGAUGCUCGAAAGUGUGGGUAUCAAACAGGAGUAGAUACCCUAGUAGUC
rnacentral:rRNA from 1 species